rnacentral:lncRNA from 1 species
GUUGUAACAUUAGGCUAGGGGUUAUGAACUAUCAAAGAAAGGAUAGAGAAAAACUAAAGCUUAAGAAAUAUCAAGAUAUCUUCAUAAUGUGAUUCAGUUGACUCUCUUUUGGAACUUGGAUCUUCUAUUAUUGGCAUCCAAGACUCAUGUCAAAAGGAUGGAACCAUUUUGAACUCUUCUUUUCUAAUUCUUUUGAUUUUUUUUUCUCUUUUUUUUCGAUUCUUUUCUUUCUUUCUUUCUUUUUUAUUUUUGCUUUUUUACACAAUAAUAUGAAUAAUAAUAUAACACAGGGUACCUCAGUACACAUCACUUCUUAGGUUAGAACCCCAACCUUUACUUCUUGACGUUUCACUUUGGUUAUCCCUUAAACUAUAGGAUAUGGCUAAUAUAGGUUAAAUAGGUAAAGGGUGAAUUUGAGUAAUGAAAGAAAAGGCUAAGUGUUUGGCUUCAAAAGGGAAACUAUGGAUAAUAUAAUAAAAGGUUGGUUAGAAAAGCUCAAACGGUACAAAGAUGGCCAAAAUCAUCUCUCUAAUGUUACAUGACUUAGGAUUUCGCCUCAAGAGAUAUUGAAGCAAGUUCUAAGAUGGAUGCUAUCAUGAACUUCACAAAGAAAGAAUUAUGCAAUAGCUCAAAAUCUACAAAAUGUUCAUUAAGGUUUUCACUUAAAAUCCACAUAUAAUUCUCUGAGUUAAGAGCUAAUCAUGCUAACGUUGGUUAUUUGUAUAAAAUAAACUUGAGAAUGAUAAUGUAAGAAUUGAUUAGCCAUAUAAAACAACUGAAAUUUCACAUAAAAAGAGCCAAUUCAAAUAAGCGUGUGACCUAGAAGAAAACGAAGUAUUAUCAUUGACUUAUGGAAGAUCUAACUAAAAAAAUGACUCAAGAAAAAUAAAUCUUUUUUAUUUUUUGACUUUUUUUUCUUCUGUGGAUUAAUUUUUAUGACAAGAAAUUUUGAAAAGUAAUGCUCAAAGGCCAAACGACUAAUUAACAAGAAAUUUUGAACAAGGAAACCGAUGGACUAAAUCAACAAGAAAAACAAAAU